rnacentral:tRNA from 3 species
UGGGGCGUCGCCAAGUGGUAAGGCAGCUGGUUUUGGUCCAGCCAUUCCGGAGGUUCGAAUCCUUCCGCCCCAGCCA